rnacentral:rRNA from 1 species
GUGGGGAAUCUUGCGCAAUGGGCGAAAGCCUGACGCAGCCAUGCCGCGUGAAUGAUGAAGGUCUUAGGAUUGUAAAAUUCUUUCACCGGGGACGAUAAUGACGGUACCCGGAGAAGAAGCCCCGGCUAACUUCGUGCCAGCAGCCGCGGUAAUACGAAGGGGGCUAGCGUUGCUCGGAAUUACUUGGCGGAAAGGGCGCGUAGGCGGACCGUUUAGUCAGAGGUGAAAGCCCAGGGCUCAACCUUGGAAUUGCCUUUGUUCCUGGCUGUCUUGAGUGCGGGAGAGGUGAGUGGAACUCCGAGUGUAGAGAUGAAAUUCGUAGAUAUUCGGAAGAACACCAGUGGCGAAGGCGACUCACUGGCCCGUUACUGACGCUGAGGCGCGAAAGCGUGGGGAGCAAACAGGAUUAGAAACCCUGGUAGUCC